rnacentral:rRNA from 1 species
GGGCAUCUAGCGAGACUGCCGGUAAUAAACCGGAGGAAGGUGGGGAUGACGUCAAAUCAUCAUGCCCCUUAUGACCUGGGCUACACACGUGCUACAAUGGUUGGUACAACGAGUUGCGAGUCGGUGACGGCGAGCUAAUCUCUUAAAGCCAAUCUCAGUUCGGAUUGUAGGCUGCAACUCGCCUACAUGAAGUCGGAAUCGCUAGUAAUCGCGGAUCAGCACGCCGCGGUGAAUACGUUCCCGGGCCUU